CCCCUCAUCCUGGUUACGCCUUCGCCUUGGACGGCUCUCUUCCCGCGCCGGGGCCGUUCCCCGGCGGCGCUCCGACGCUCGGCGACGGCGACGCGCGCCGCGUCCUCCCCUGGUCCCCCGACCUGUCGGCGGCGCUCUACAAGAUCGACGCCUGGGGGGCGCCCUACUUCGCGGUGAACUCGGCGGGCAACAUCGCCGUGCGCCCCCACGGAUCCGCCACCCUCCCCCACCAGGAGAUCGAACUCAUGAAGGUGGUCAAGAAGGCGUCCGACCUCAAGAGCGCCGGGGGGCUGGGCCUCCAGCUCCCCCUCAUCGUCCGCCUCCCCGACGUCCUCAAGAACCGCCUCGAGUCCCUCCAGAGCGCCUUCGACUUCGCCGUCGCCGCCAACGGCUACGCCUCCCACUACCAGGGGGUCUACCCUGUCAAGUGCAACCAGGACCGCUGCGUCGUCGAGGACGUCGUCCAGUUCGGCGCCCCCUUCCGCUUCGGCCUCGAGGCCGGCUCCAAGCCCGAGCUCCUCCUCGCCAUGAGCUGCCUCCUCCGCGGCAGCCCCGAGGCCUUACUCGUGUGCAACGGCUACAAGGACGAGGAGUACGUCUCCCUGGCGCUCAUGGCCCGGGC
rnacentral:lncRNA from 1 species